rnacentral:rRNA from 1 species
CAGGACGAACGCUGGCGGCAUGCCUAACACAUGCAAGUCGAACGGGGGUAGCAAUACCCUAGUGGCGAACGGGUGAGUAACACAUAAGCAAUCUGCCCUUCACAGGGGGAUAACAGCGGGAAACUGCUGCUAAUACCGCAUAAGACCACGGUACCGCAUGGUACAGGGGUAAAAACGAAUCAGUGGUGAAGGAUGAGCUUAUGUCCCAUUAGCUAGUUGGUGAGAUAACAGCCCACCAAGGCGACGAUGGGUAGCCGACCUGAGAGGGUGAUCGGCCACACUGGAACUGAGACACGGUCCAGACUCCUACGGGAGGCAGCAGUGGGGAAUAUUGGGCAAUGGAGGAAACUCCUUACCCAGCAAUGCCGCGUGAGUGAAGAAGGUCUUCGGAUUGUAAAGCUCUUUGAUUGGGGACGAAGAAAGUGACGGUACCCAAAGAACAAGCCCCGGCUAACUACGUGCCAGCAGCAGC